AUGGCGACUCCCGGGGAUGGCGAGGACGCGCCGCCGCCGCCGCCGGUGAGCGCGGCGGGGGCUGGAAGCAGCUUGAUCGCGAAGCUGCGGGAGCAAUGGAGGAGCACGAAAGAGCACGCGGAGACGUAUCCGUACGUGUGGGGCUCCUACAUCCUCGUCUACGGCGGGCUCGGCGCGUACAUCACCUGGCGAUGGUGCAAGCUCCGCCGCACCGAGGACCGCGUCCGCGCCCUCCAGGCCCGCCUCCGCCAGCUCGCCGCCGCCGAGGAGUCGCAGGCCGCUUCCACUCCCCCUACCCCAUCUCCUCCCCUGCCGCCGCCGCCGACUGGGCCGGGCAAGCCCGCCUCCGCGCCGUGA
rnacentral:rRNA from 1 species